UGGAAAUUCAAGCAAGUUACACUUUGUCAACGUAGCAUCUACAUCUUCAUUUCUGCAACCAAAAAAGUUUAUGUGCGGUUUUUAAGCAUUCUUGUAGCCUUUAUUGCCUUCAUUCGGAAAAUGCAUGGCUUUUGUCUUUAACAAGAAGGAGAAAACCCUUCUGACUUUGUCAUGAGGAUAAAAAUAGUACUGUUUGGCUGGCUUGUGCUGUUAGACCCUUAGUCUUAACUUUCACAGUUCAUCUAAGGUGUGAGGUUAUGAAGUAGGACACGGAAAACGUGUCAUGUUCUAAUGCUUCCAUUUUCCCCUCUGGAAAGGACCUUUGCUAAGAUGCUACAGCUGUGAGCGUGCUAAGUUAGUGCUGCAGAAAAGCUAACACGUUGCCUUUUGGUUAGCCAUGCACAGGGAUCAAGUUGGAUUUAAUUCCACUGAGGAAUUUUCAUGAAUUUGAAAAACAGACUCUGCCAACACGAAACAAGUUAGAUGUUCUGCUUAUUGCUUAUAGGGUUCAGGUACAAUGCUUGGAUUUUCUGUAGGCUGUCUCUUCCGCCCUACAGCAUCUAAUCUACCCAGUUAGCUUUUGUCAAAGUCUAUUCAUUUGCUGUGAGGUUUACCAAAUCAACACUUUUUAAAAUCAGUCUGAGCAAUAAUUUUUCUGAAAUUUGAACAUUUUACCAAGAUCUGCUAAAGAGUUAAGCAAGGUCAGGUAAGCAAGAAUUAAUCCACCAGUUGACCCAAUCUCACAGACUUUGGGUCCUGCUGGUAUGUUGUGUUGCAGCAUCUCUAGGGAAUUUGAAAGAAAGUAAGAAAUGCAGGAGUGUUAUCUGGGACCUUGGUGAGGAUUGUGCAGAACUGACUAGCUGCUGGUCUGUACACAUUCUGUCAUUAGAAUAGGCUUGCUCUAGACAAAAUUGCCCCAGUUCUAAGCACAACAGUAAUUUAGGAAUCUAGAAUCCAAUAUCACUGAAUCAAUAUUAAGAGAAGAAAUUGGAAUCCUGCACAUCGGAAAACAGGAUUUUGAUGCUCUGGCUUGCUAGCUAUUGUCAUACAUAGAUUGUCAUACAUUCCAUAUUAGGAGUUGUAUUAAAUGAAAUACCAAGACCACAAAAACUUAGUAUUAAAACUUUUUUUUUACUUCCCUGGGAAGAAAGCACAUGGUUGUUUCAGCCUAUCAACUAUUUCUGUGGUAUUUAUUUUUCUCUGUUCAUCUUUGAAACUCAGGAAGGAAAUAAAAUACCAACAUAAAUAAAUGAAGAAGAAGCUUUCUCAACACCAAUAAGCUAGACAAAAGAAACAGAACACGAGAUAAUGUUUACUUAUUCAUGAUAUCUUCAUGAAUGCCAUACUUCAGAGGGAAAGGGAGAUUUUUGUUCUUGUUUGUCUCUCAAGCGUGUUAAUCGGCUUUUAUUAAAGUGGGGAUGGGAGAAAGCUAGCUUGAAAAAGCUAAAUGCAAUCCAGAUUAGAAGUUCAUGUGAAAUACUGGAGAGUGAGAGGAAUUGUUUAAAGUUGGGAUGAUAUUCAAGGGGAUAGGAAAAUAUUUUCAUAUUCUUAUAUACAAGGAGGAAAUGUUUUUGAAAGGAUGCAUGGGCGUGUGGUAGAAGUAGUGAUUCUGUUCUUAGGGGCACCUGGUUCAGAUCCCUGUUCUGUAAAAAUGUCUUAUGUAAGUUUUAGUGCUUUUGUCUGUGCUGCCAGUCUAUCUGAUAUGCGUCUUCUGGGCCCCUAGAAAAUAAAGGAAUUCCUUGUAAUGAGUUAAGUACAUGCAUAAGUGUGUUUGAGAAGUCAGAGUAUUUCUGUCAUUCAGAUCCACUCUGUCUUUCUCUUGCUGUGACUGUUUUGUGUUAGCGUGUUGCACAGGGAGCUCUUGUGUUGAGUUCCUCCAUGAUGCUGUGACCCUGGAAGUGUCAGGAAAACAGUCCUGAAAGUUAAAGCUAGGUACUAUGCAGCAGUUUUCUCACCUGGCUAAUUGAGAUUUGACAGAAAAGCAUAAAAAGAUUAAUGCAGGGAAAGAGUCCCCUGCACUGGCAAGGGAUAAACUGAAAUGUCAGAUCAGUCCCAGCCAGUUGACACUUCUCAGAGCUCUCUCCUUGCAGUACACUGCAUAGCUGCUCUCAGUACAGAGGUCUGGGAGUCCGUUUGUGUCUAGCCAUCUAAAAGGCUAUGUGGAGAAAAAGCAUCUCAUAGGAUCAGGUUCAAAAACACAGUCACUAGAGCCUGUUCACUGUUUGUAUGGUCUGGCUAAUGUCAUUGCAAGUUACCUGAUAGCAGCUCUUAAAAUGCUGGCAGUUUCCAUGCUGUUAGGCAAAUGAGACAUGGAAGAAUUAACUUAUAUACACAGUCAACAACAUAAUAUGAAGCAAUAUGCUUGUAUUUUUCAUUGAAUGAAUUCCUCAUAGAUCCUCUUCUGUCCCCAGGAUUCCUUUGCAUUUAUUUACACUUCCAUUAUUCUUUUUUAAACGUACAUUAGGAAGCAAAACAUCAGAUAACACCACAGUGUAGCUGUAACUCAUUAACAAACAGCCACACUGGGGCUGGGCGUACGCUCUCAGUUCCCUGUCAUGCUAAGCUAUUCAACCUUGAAAGACUUCAGAUUUGUAUGAAUCUUUUACUCACACAGGGAAGCGAGAUAUUUCUUUAAGAGGUCUGGUAGCCUUUAAUUUUACUAGAAAUACUGGCUUUUUAAAGACUGUACUAAUAAAUACAACGCAAGAAGCCUAGCUGUAAUCUCAGGAACCAGCAGCAGCUGGUGCAGUGGGUCCUGCUGCCAUGGGGUGCAUGUGGCUGAGAGGUCACAUGUUUUCUUUGCUAUCCUCAGAAGGUGACUUGGGCCAGGAGGGGCUUGAAAGCUGAAGAUUAGAAGGUAGUCAUGGCAGCUCUUUCGUUUUGUUCCGGAUUUUCUAAAUGCCUUAUCUCAAUAGCUACUUUGCUAACUUGAGUUUCUUCCAAUAGAUGUAAAAAAAAAAAAACUACAAAGAAAACCCACAAAGCUCAAAAUGAAUGCUGUGAAUUUGCAAAUCAGAGACUAAUCAUGGAUUUCCCUUCUUCCAGCUUCUCUGUUUUGCUCUGCCAUCACUUUGGUCGUGUGAACAGUAUAGCUUCCAGCCGUCUGAUAACAGUGACUUAAAAAGGUGCCCAUUGCUGCUGAAGCUUCUCACACAGCUGAGGCAAUCACAAGCGUGUGCACUUUUUGGUUUCCAGCUCUGAUGUGGAUUCUUGCAAAAAGAGAGCAAUCUAGCUUUCCUAACAGUAAGGACAUGGAAAGGAUCUUUGUUCUCUACCAGUGACCUAUUUUCAUGAAAUUUAACAGUGAAACCAUACCUCCUUUGCUACAUUUGGUUAACACUGAAUAAAAUAGAUUUCUAGUGAUUAAGAGGAGGGAAAAAAAUACAUGGACAGACACAUGUUCUGACCACACACAUUUGAGGCCCCUGUUUCUGAAAACAGGAAAGUAAAAGCAGAUUGGAAUCAUACAUCUGUCCUGUACAUACCAUCUCAUUUGGCAGUGUGCAAGACUGGUGUUUGUUUGAAAGCUUAUUUAAUAUUUGGUUUAAUCUACUCAAGAAAAGAAAUGAAAAAGACAAAAAGAAAAGAAGCUCACACAUCCACUCGAUAUCUCUGAGCUCCACACAAGUGCAGAAGAGCUCUUGAAGUCCUUGGAGGUAUCCACUGCCCACCAAAGACUCCCAGUCCACAAAGCACGGCCUUCACAAAGCUGUGAGGAGGUUGUGGAUUCAUUUGGCAAAUUCAGCAACAAGGCAUAGACAUGACUUGGACAUUUCUACUGUGUACUGCACGUAGAGUCUCACUGGUGUGAUUGACAUGGCCAGGAGUGUGUUUUGCAGAUGGGGCUGGCAAAGCGUCAGCACCUUUUAUUUUCUAUUUUUGCCUGGUGUGGACACAAGGGUCAGCCAAGACUGUCUGUUGAAAACAACAGGUUGUUCUCUGCCGUCAUUUUUCCAGCCGUGCUCAGUCAGUGGUGGAGGGGUCACUUUAAUAACAAAAAGCAGUCAGCAUCUACGGAUUCGCUCAGUAUCCCAGAGACUCUCAGCACACUAGUCAGGAAUAUGAGGGGGCAAGAAGAAGAAGAAUCCAAUUGUGGAUCCCGGUGAGACGUUACUGGAGAGGAAUCUUUGUCUAAAAUACUCAGACUUCAAGUUUAUCUUACUCUGAAGGAAGACGUUCAAUACAAGCUAAAAAGGAAAUUGUCUUGAAAACUUCAUCACAGACAAGUCUUUCAGCCGCUCAGCAUCAUUUGCGUAGAAUAAAUUACCCGGUCUUUGAUAUUUUCUUAGACUGAUGGAGACCCAGGCUUGAGGUCCCUCAAACUGCAUACACAGAGGGGAGUCAAGAGACCUGAUCUUCAGAAUUUCCUCUAUCACCUGCAAUAGGAAUCCAUUGGAAACAGCUAAGACGUCUUCAGAUAGUAUCAGCAAACUUCCCAUAGAAAAAUUUAAGCCAUGGGGCCCUUAUCUCUCCCUGCAAGGCAAGACUUGAUCAGAGAAGUUUCUGGGACAAAAUGCCCCUCCUGAAGCUGGUAGGCCCAUGCAACUGCUUGACAGGACCAAGAUCUCCUCCUGCAUCAUUUAUUUUGGAAUAUCCAUCAGCUCCAGAGGCCUGCUGUCUGCUUUCCUUUUUGUAAGUGUCUGUGAGCAACUUCUCUUCAUUUUUCCAUGUAGAAGUGUUUUGGGAAGGGCAGCAGGAUUCCUUUUCCACAGAGGACCUUUUCAGAGAGGACCAGCAGUCUCCCUGGAGCUGGGGCAAGGAAUAGGAAAGGAGUCUUGUUCUGUCUCCUUCCUGUUCCAUCUCCUGUCUCAUAGAAACAUGCACAGCAGCAUCUCGCACAGCAAGAAUCUUUCUAGGAUGUUCAUUUGAUAAUUUUGAGCUUUUCCACUCUGCAGUCCUCACAAUAGUUUUUCUCUGAGUAACAGUUGCAUCAAACUUUGUUCAGUUAAGUAAGAGGUUCAAAUAAAUAAGAUGUUUUUAACCCAAGUUUGUGUCUUAAGAGCAGUGAUGCCAUGACAACUAGCUGUUUUUGUUGUGGUGCCGUAUUUAUCAGAGAUUUGGAACUUUUACACCCCCAAAUAAGGCAACUGAUGUGAAAAGGAAAAGUCCUCUCUUCCCCAUCUCAUCACACCUCUGAGUGAGGAGGGCCUUUUUGUGCCAGAAGAAAAGCCAGAUACAAUCAAAUGAAGGAGAAAAGGAGUGGCAUUUCUCCGCCUGGGAAAAGCCAGAAAAGGACAUGCUGGAGACCCCUCACAGGAGGACCCGGGCAAUCUCAGAGGGAUUAAGCUGCAGUGUACUGUACAGAGAAACCAGAGCUGAACCUGGAAACAUGCAGCUCCAUGAAGCAUGGCUCCUGUGCCCUGUGUGCAAGAGGCUGUUGUCCGUCAGCUAAAGCAUAGCCCCAUGCACAGUGUUAUGACAGCUGUUGGAAACUGUUAUGUCAGUGUACCUUUUCUGUCUCUUCAGGAAUAGAAGAUGCUGUGCUCCUUUGGAUUUUUUAAUGCCCUGCUUAGUCUGGAUCACAAGCCAGUGAGACAUUGAUAAUUUUAACCACAGACUGCAUGAGCCUAUUUGUUUAUAUUGCUGGGACAAACAUUUCCAGAGGAAGCCUGUGCCAAAAGUGACUGGAAUAACUUCUCUUCCUUUACACCUUUAUCUUCUCUCCUUUUUCUGCAGAACAUUGCUGCAUUAUCACUGCUUUCUUCGAAAAGCACAAUCUUCUCUGUCUGUAGUUUCCUUUUGGAACUGUGUUAUUCCUUUCUAGUAAAUUGUAAGGAACUUUUGUAAUUUCAUAACAAAUGCACUAAAACAGACCCCAAACCUGCACAAAUCCACUGUAAUGCCAAUUUUACAAUUGCAUUCUUUGCUUUUUUAUCCCUGCUGCUGUUUGAUUUUCAAAGGGAAAGAGAGAAGUUAAAUAUUUAUACAGGGGAAACUGAAUUUACACAAUAAAUAAAGAGAAAAAAGCAGAAAAAUAAUCCCCCCCCGCUCUUUAAUUUUCACUAACACUGCAUGUAUGCUGUUUCACAAAGAAGUGUGCCUCCUACUUUCAUCCCAUAUUCAGCAGAUGUGCUCUUAACUGCUCUUACUCCUUUUUAAUUCCUUUACAUAAAAUAAAAACUUCCAUUGUGUUUCACAAAUUCAACAUGAUAUGGAGGUUGUUUUGUUUUGUUUUAUUUUGUUUUUUUAAAAAGAAAUACGUCCUGCUUAACCUUAGUAUGGCAAGGAAAUUUGAUUAUCACUUGUUGAAAGGCAUGCAGGUCACGUCAAGUGUUUCUGACAUUUUAAGUUUCUGUCUAUUUUAAGUUAAGUUAGAAUUUGUAUUUGGAUUAGGAGAGAGUAAAAAGACUUGGACAAUAGAUAAGUCUUUGCCUGUGAAUGAAAACUGGAAUAUGCAAGUUAUGGAGUUAUGGUCAGACAGACUUCUUUUAGGGAUGUGAGGCUUCGGCUGGGUCACCGCCCAGAUG